rnacentral:rRNA from 1 species
UACGGGGGGAGCAAGCGUUGUUCGGAUUUACUGGGCGUAAAGGGCGCGUAGGCGGCGCGACAAGUCACUUGUGAAAUCUCCGGGCUUAACCCGGAGCGGCCAAGUGAUACUGUAGUGCUAGAGUGCGGAAGGGGCUACUGGAAUUCUCGGUGUAGCGGUGAAAUGCGUAGAUAUCGAGAGGAACACCUGCGGCGAAGGCGGGUAGCUGGGCCGACACUGACGCUGAGGCGCGAAAGCGUGGGGAGCGAACAGG